rnacentral:rRNA from 1 species
CAGUCGAACGAAGCACUCUAUUUGAUUUUCUUCGGAAAUGAAGAUUUUGUGACUGAUUGGCGGACGGGUGAGUAACGCGUGGGUAACCUGCCUCAUACAGGGGGAUAACAGUUGGAAACGGCUGCUAAUACCGCAUAAGCGCACAGGAUCGCAUGAUCUGGUGUGAAAAACUCCGGUGGUAUGAGAUGGACCCGCGUCUGAUUAGCCAGUUGGCAGGGUAACGGCCUACCAAAGCGACGAUCAGUAGCCGACCUGAGAGGGUGACCGGCCACAUUGGGACUGAGACACGGCCCAAACUCCUACGGGAGGCAGCAGUGGGGAAUAUUGCACAAUGGGGGAAACCCUGAUGCAGCGACGCCGCGUGAGCGAAGAAGUAUUUCGGUAUGUAAAGCUCUAUCAGCAGGGAAGAAGAAUGACGGUACCUGACUAAGAAGCACCGGCUAAAUACGUGCCAGCAGCCGCGGUAAUACGUAUGGUGCAAGCGUUAUCCGGAUUUACUGGGUGUAAAGGGAGCGCAGGCGGUGCGGCAAGUCUGAUGUGAAAGCCCGGGGCUCAACCCCGGUACUGCAUUGGAAACUGUCGUACUAGAGUGUCGGAGGGGUAAGUGGAAUUCCUAGUGUAGCGGUGAAAUGCGUAGAUAUUAGGAGGAACACCAGUGGCGAAGGCGGCUUACUGGACGAUAACUGACGCUGAGGCUCGAAAGCGUGGGGAGCAAACAGGAUUAGAUACCCUGGUAGUCCACGCCGUANACGAUGAAUACUAGGUGUCGGGGANCAUUGCUCUUC